GAUGAACGCUGGCGGCGUGCUUAACACAUGCAAGUCGAACGGAAAGGCUCCUGCUUGCAGGGGUACUCGAGUGGCGAACGGGUGAGUAACACGUGGGUGAUCUGCCCUGCACUUCGGGAUAAGCCUGGGAAACUGGGUCUAAUACCGGAUAGGACGAUGGUUUGGAUGCCAUUGUGGAAAGUUUUUUCGGUGUGGGAUGAGCUCGCGGCCUAUCAGCUUGUUGGUGGGGUAAUGGCCUACCAAGGCGUCGACGGGUAGCCGGCCUGGGAGGGUGUACGGCCACAUUGGGACUGAGAGACGGCCCAGACUCCUACGGGAGGCAGCAGGGGGGAAUAUUGCACAAUGGGCGCAAGCCUGAUGCAGCGACGCCGCGUGGGGGAUGACGGCCUUCGGGUUGUAAACUCCUUUCGCUAGGGACGAAGCGCAAGUGACGGUACCUGGAGAAGAAGCACCGGCUAACUACGU
rnacentral:rRNA from 1 species